AAACCAUACCACCGCAUAAGCUGCGGCAGGCUAUUAAUUGUGUUGUCUCCAUCGCCAAUAAUGAGAGUUCAGAAUUUUACACGAAGAUAAAGUUGCCUCG